UUCCUGGUAGUCCAGUGGUUAGGACUAGGUCCUUUCACUGUGGUGGCCCAGGGUUCAAUUCCUGGUCAGGGAA
rnacentral:tRNA from 1 species